rnacentral:rRNA from 1 species
UACGUAGGGGGCAAGCGUUAUCCGGAUUUACUGGGUGUAAAGGGGGCGCAGACGGCGAUGCAAGCCAGGAGUGAAAGCCCGGGGCCCAACCCCGGGACUGCUCUUGGAACUGCGUGGCUGGAGUGCAGGAGGGGCAGGCGGAAUUCCUGGUGUAGCGGUGAAAUGCGUAGAUAUCAGGAGGAACACCGGUGGCGAAGGCGGCCGCCUGGCCUGUUACUGACGCUGAGGCACGAAAGCGUGGGUAUCGAACAGG